CAAUAAAACAAAAACUGCUAGAUCUGAUAGUCACUAUAAAAAGAUGACACAUCUUCCUGAGAGACACCUGAAGGGAUCCACAUCCAAAAGGAACAUGAUGAAGCUUUGCUUUCUUGUUUUGGCUAUUGCUGGUGAGUUUUUUUUCUCCUCCAACUUCAAUACGUUUAGAUUUUUAGCUGGAAGAAGUUAUCUUCUUCUGUACAUAACUGUCUGUUAGACAGAACAGAAUAGGCGAGUGUUAGAAUAGGAGAAUUAAAAAAAUAAAAGUCAUUUAGGAUCCAAACCUAAGCUCUUUAUUUUGUUUUGAAACAUUCAAGUCUAAAUGAUUUCUAAGCAUAAGCCUGACAAGUGUGCUGUCUGCUCUGCUUCAGGUGCGGCAUCAGGGGCCAUUGAGAAGAGGAUUGUUGGGGGCAGCUCCUGUGGCACGAACAGGCAAUACCAUGUGCAGAUAACAUCUGUGGUGGGCAAGAAAGAAUGUGCAGGCUCUCUACUCAACACCCGCUGGGUCAUCACGGCUUCUCAUUGUGGAGAACAACAAGUGAAAGUGAAGAUUGGCUUAAAUAAUGAUGUGUCAUUUUU